GUGGCGCACGGGCGAGUAACGCGUGGGAAAUCUGCCUCAGUAUGGGGGAUAACAGUCCUAACGGACUGCUAAUACCGCAUAAUAUGGUCGGAUGGCAUCAUUGGACCAUCAAAGGUGGGGAUCGAAAGACCUGCCGUAUUGAGAGGAUCCCGCGUCCCAUUAGCUAGUUGGUAGGGUAACGGCCUACCAAGGCUCCGAUGGGUAGCUGGUCUGAGAGGACGACCAGCCACACUGGGACUGAGACACGGCCCAGACUCCUACGGGAGGCAGCAGUCGAGAAGCUUCGGCAAUGGGGGAAACCCUGACCGAGCGACGCCGCGUGGAGGAUGAAGGCCUUCGAGGUCGUAAACUCCUGUCAUGAGGGAAGAAAGUGUUCAGGUUAAUACCCUGAAUGCGUGACGGUACCUCAGGAGGAAGCUCCGGCUAACUCC
rnacentral:rRNA from 1 species